rnacentral:rRNA from 1 species
AUUGAACGCUGGCGGCAGGCCUAACACAUUCAAGUCGAACGGUAACAGGAAGAAGCUUGCUUCUUUGCUGACGAGUGGCGGACGGGUGAGUAAUGUCUGGGAAACUGCCUGAUGGAGGGGGAUAACUACUGGAAACGGUAGCUAAUACCGCAUAACGUCGCAAGACCAAAGAGGGGGACCUUCGGGCCUCUUGCCAUCGGAUGUGCCCAGAUGGGAUUAGCUAGUAGGUGGGGUAACGGCUCACCUAGGCGACGAUCCCUAGCUGGUCUGAGAGGAUGACCAGCCACACUGGAACUGAGACACGGUCCAGACUCCUACGGGAGGCAGCAGUGGGGAAUAUUGCACAAAGGGCGCAAGCCUGAUGCAGCCAUGCCGCGUGUAUGAAGAAGGCCUUCGGGUUGUAAAGUACUUUCAGCGGGGAGGAAGGGAGUAAAGUUAAUACCUUUGCUCAUUGACGUUACCCGCAGAAGAAGCACCGGCUAACUCCGUG